UACGGAGGGUGCAAGCGUUGUUCGGAUUUACUGGGCGUAAAGCGCGCGCAGGUGGAUGAACAAGUCGGAAGUGAAAUCUCGAGGCUCAACCUCGAGGCUGCUCCCGAAACUGUUCGUCUAGGGACUGGUAGAGGCUGGUAGAAUUCCCGGUGUAGCGGUGGAAUGCGUAGAGAUCGGGAAGAACAUCGGUGGCGAAGGCGCUCUACUGGACCACAACUGACACUCAGGGACGAAAGCUAGGGGAGCGAAUGGG
rnacentral:rRNA from 1 species